GGGAGAUGAAGAGGACAGAAACUGAGAGAC
rnacentral:piRNA from 1 species